GCUCCAUUCGCUCAGUUGGAUCAGAGCACUCGACUUUUAAUCGAGAUUUCAUGGGUUCGAAUCCCAUAUGGGGCA
rnacentral:tRNA from 1 species